UCUUACGCCCGUUUUAAGCUCUGAUCUUCCCCAGGAAUCUGACGCAAGCCCUCUGGGGACAGUCCUGAAGACAAGGUGCAAAGGAAGAGUGUAGUAGAGGGUCCAGGGUUCCUUGGAGAAAUGGCUGACUCCAGAUUUGGGACUGGGAGAGUACACGAUACUUGCCUUAAUACCGAUGCUAAAAAGAGAAUGAUCAGAAAGGACCCGAACGUGUCUCCUAACGUGAAUGUGAAAGGCUCGCUCUCGAGAGAAAAUGCAGACGUUGCCAUUUACACAUUUUAGUCCCAGCUCUGCAGUGUGGGCCUGGGAUUGUUGAGAAAACAGGCAAAUAGAGAAAUCAUAGAAGUAUUUCAACUGUGUGGGGAAAAAAAGAAUGCAGAGAUGAUUAUUCUUCCAUGUCCAGAACGUUUUAUGAGAUCUGGAUUUCUCCUUUACAUUCUGGGGCCAGGAUCCAACUGGCCCCUUCCAAAGCCCUGAACUCUUGAAAGAUGUGUGAAAAACAGCUGAUGUGAGACCACUGAGAAAUUAUAGGAGAAAUGCUAAUGAUAUCUGAGAGCAAAGAUCACACAGGUUACUAGACCAAAAGGAGACACUAUGGUGAUAAAGAAGAGCAGAAAAUGGAGAAGGAAGAACAAUGAUUGGGCACGAGAACAAAUCAUAUAAAUGCUCCAGUACGACCAGUCGACAAGCUGUAAUCAAAAUGGAACAGCAAUCCAUAAAGGCUUGCUAUAAAGUUAGGCAUUAUUCUCAUACUGUACAUACCUCUCAUUCCAUCUGAUACACGCAUUUUUUCCUCUUCUGAAGAAAACAACAGCUUGCUAAAGAGAAAUCGAAGUCUUUUGAGUCAUUAUCAACAAAUUUCAGAGACAGACAUUUGACACAAUCUUCUUGCAUCUUCCAAAACCUCUAUUUACUUACAGACAGCUGUAUAUGUCCUUUCAACAGGAAUUGGACUUUUUAAAGUAUUUAAGAUGAUUUUGCUAAUUGUGCUUCCAAUGAACUAAUAAAACAUGAAUAUGCAAAUGAUAAUAUUACAUGACAAAUGAGUAAGCUCUGCUGUAAUGGUGUAUGUUGUGAUGAAUUCUGCUGGUCUUGUAAUAAAUUCAUUUUCAAAGUACAGUCUUCCUAAGGGCAGUUCACAAACGGGAUCUGGAUUUUUCACAAUGGUAACCCUGGGGCUGAGUUUAGUCUGGAACCUAGAAGAUGCUCAGGGAUCAUCUGUUGAAUGAAUGAAAAAAUGAGAGGAAAAGAGACAAAGCCUAACAUUGUAGCUUAUAAUUUUAGAAGAAAAAUGAGCAAGAUAUUCACAAAUCAGCCUCGAUAUCAGUGUUUAUUUAGCCUACAUGAGCUUUGGACGGUGAAGCUACUGCCUGCUUUAAGAAAGGGGUAAAUGCUGAGAAAGCAGCUUGGGAAGAUCCAUGGUGAGAGAUGGAUUCCCACAUAGGAACGUGAACCAUGGUACCUGGUGGAACUCCUAUCUUGUAUGCAGAUGUUUGCAUAACAACAGUUUGCAAUGCCUUCAAUGUCUGUUAAAAUGACAAGUGGCUUUGUAUACAGUUAUAUUUUGGCAAUCGUCACUGAAAGAAUGAUUGUGAGGUAUAAAUCACUAAUAUUUAUGGUUUACAAAUGUAACUAAAUUAAAGGUCUUUUACAUUCCAUGAAAUCUAGGUCCAAUAAUGUAACAGCAGAUGUUCUAAA